GGACAUGGAAGAGAAGAAGGUAGGCUUUCUGGUCCCAACGCUCUUUGAACUAGUUCCAGUUUGAUUGUUCUUCUGCAUGUCCGAUAUGUACAUCUUCAUCUUCAAAAGCUCCGUUCGCAAUGCCUCAUUCUCCUUUACCAGCGACACGUCUGCCUGCAACUGAUUCCUGGUGGUCACGGCGUCUGGCUGGUUGCGGUCAUCCGCCCCCCCACUCCUUAGCUUUAGCUGAUCAUAGUACAAAGCGUGCAAAACAAUCUGCACAGGCAAGCGCUUGUUUUGGGAUGCAUGCACUCGAGCUUCAUAGGACAGCUUCAGGGGGUCCAUGGAGCUGCAUACCUUCUCCCUCUCUAUCUCGUCCAGAUUUGGAUGAGACUGCAUGCAUGCAUUAAUUCAUUCAUUUGCAAAUUAACUCACAAUUCAUAUUUGUUGAUAAAUUAUUCAACUUUCAGAUUAAUUAAAAGAUUAAAAAUUAACCUUGAGGUAGACGUCAAUGGCCCGGUAGAGAUCAUCCUCCACCUUUCUGGCUCCUUUAGGGACGAGAUUGGCGAUGCCGUUGAACUUGGAGAUGGAAAGUUCAACUGCAGUUGCUAUCUCCGCCAGGUAUGCGUCUACAGUCUUAGCAACUCUCUGCAUCGCGGAGGAACUUACCUCCCUAAAAUCGCCGCCAUUGAAAACAGCCAUGCUCUUCUCCUUCUCCACAAACCCGGAGAUGAUCCUCCUCACGCUGUCCAGAUCGAAGAGCCUCUCCCCAUCAUAUGUGAAAGACAGGACCAAAAGAUCAUCAACCGUAACAUGCUCCAAUAUGAGCGAGAUCCGUUUCUCCGCCUCGUUCCUGCAAGCACUGGAGGCUUUCAGAAAAAUUGCACAGCGGAGAAGGCAACACAAGAAGUGGAUCGGAAAGGCAGCUUUCUCCACCGGAAGCAGUUGCACAAUGGACUCUAAAAGCUCACGCUGCUGGAUCCGAAGAUCAGAGUCAAUGGGCUCCGAACACUUGAUGCCGUUGCCCGAGUGAUCUCGUACUAGAUCUCGGAGCCAUCUCUCCGCGUAAGUUAUGAGAGCGGCAGCGAUGGUUAGGGGUUUUGCACCCCUUUGUUUCAUUGCGCCAAUGAUUCUACCAAACAACUCAACGUCCAGGAUCGAUAGCUCUUCCGUCCACCAGUUUGGAGGCGUACGGCAAGGGAAACUCGCCUCGUUACAAGCCUGCAGGCACCAAUUAAUAUUCAUGGUAUAUAACAUAAUUAAAUCGAUUCGCAUAAAAAAUACACGCACCCUAGCACUGGCUACAUCAAUGCAUCUUUGAACAAUCUUGAGCUCCUCAGCCAUGGGAAGCAGAUCCUCGCAUGAUUUGAGAACGACGACGGCGCCAGAAAGGCUAGACAGGGCAACCUGUGAGAGGAAAUCUUCGGUGCGCCCUGCCAGGUUGUUGUCGCAGUAUUUAUUCGUCAUUUGGAGAUACUCGGCAGCACAUCGGAGAGCCGCCACGUUAUGCACUGUAAUCUCGAAAUUAACGCCGUAGCA
rnacentral:lncRNA from 1 species